GUUUUUCCUAGUAUACAUGUUUUUUUUUUUUUUCUCUUGUUGCUUGAAUUGGUUUGUCAAACUCAUCCAAAUUCAUAUUUCCAUUUUUUUUUAAUCUCCUCUUAUCGAAUCUAAAACCCCUAAAUUAUCUCACUUUUAUUUGCCAAAACCAUAAGUUUUAAUUUCCUGUUCAAAUUUGGUCAUUUUCCACACUAAGUUAGUUAUUAUGUUCAGUAUACAUGUCUUUAUAUUUUUAUUUUUCUGUUUGUGAAUUCGACGAAUAUUCAGUCGAUUUAAUGAGUUUAUGUUUAUACUUUUUGAUACACAGGCUAGUGAUAGGUUCAAUAUCAACUCCCAGCUUGAGCAAUUACAAGCUAAAUAUGUUGGAACAGGACAUGCUGACUUGAUAGAUUUGGGCGGUAAACAUUCAGCGUGACAGCUACGCAUCCUAUGUUGGGCACUAUCCAAUGUUGGCGUAUUUUGCCAUUGCAGAAAAUGAAUCAAUUGGAAGAGAACGCUACAAUUUUAUGCAGAAAAUGCUGUUGCCUUGUGGUCUCCCACCUGAAAGGGAAGAUGAUUAAGAGUUGCAAUGGAUAGCACCCUGCAGACUCAGACCUUUGUCAAGCCAAAACCUUGCUGCUCUGAUCUCCAGUUCAUAACUCGUAAGGUUGUUGUGAUGUGAAAGAUUUGACUUGUAUUAAUCCCGAGUGAUCUAGCGAAAGCACAUUCAUAGAUACAAUAUCUUGAGUUGUUUUUUCAUGUUCAACUAACAGAUAAAUAUUUGAAGUU